GAGCGGGGCCCCGAGCGCAGCAGCAGCGCCGGACGCGGCGCAAAGUCCGGCCGGCAGGGCUCGCAGGCCGGAGAACGGAGCGGGUCGGGCGGGCAGGAGCUGGUGACCAAAGCAGCGGGAGACGGUCCCCGACGCACCAGGCUGGCGGCCCAGCUGCCCCGCCGCGGCCACCUGCUCCGCGUCCCCGGCCCCAAUCGAUACCAAAUAUCCGGAGCCCGGAAAUGGACCGGGGCCGUCCAAGGAGAGAUGGUAGAUGGCCCUAAAAACCCCGAAUACAACGUACAUGAAGAGCAGCUGAUAAAAUUCUGGGCCAGUUUGGAGUAGAGUGUGUACACAAUCAGCUGGGAGAACUGAGUCAUUCAUUCAUCAAAAUCGCAUGAAUGUGUCUACCAAGUGUGAUGUUAGACAACCUCUCCUGUUUCAUCUCCUGGCAACAGAAUGCAUCCUCCUUUUGGGAAACUGCCUCUUUCCCUACUCCUCAGAGAUCUGCCUCUAGGAGAUGAUGAGGCCAAACUGAAGACAGAAGCAAAGAGAAGAGAAAGGGAGAUGAAGAGGGUAUGUUCUGAUGUUACCACAGUAGCAAAGCAGGAUAUCCCCAGAGCAGCUGGCAUUUCAGCAACUCCUGGAUUCUGGGAUCUACAACUCGCAAACUCUGAACUUAUCCUCAGUUUUGCUUAAGCUAGUAAUAGUUGAUUUUCUGUCACUCACA
rnacentral:sRNA from 1 species